ACCGAAUAGAUACCCUGGUAGUCCACGCCCUAAACGAUGUCAACUAGCUGUUGGGGGCGUUCGGCCCUCAGUAGCGCAGCUAAACGCGUGAAGUUGACCGCCUGGGGAGUACGGUCGCAAGAUUAAAACUCAAAGGAAUUGACGGGGACCCGGCACAAGCGGUGGAUGAUGUGGAUUAAUUCGAUGCAACGCGAAAACCUUAACCUACCCUUGACAUGUCUGGAAUCCUUUAGAGAUAGAGGAGUGCUCGCAAGAGAACCGGAACACAGGUGCUGCAUGGCUGUCGUCAGCUCGUGUCGUGAGAUGUUGGGUUAAGUCCCGCAACGAGCGCAACCCUUGUCAUUAGUUGCUACGAAAGGGCACUCUAAUGAGACUGCCGGUGACAAACCGGAGGAAGGUGGGGAUGACGUCAAGUCCUCAU
rnacentral:rRNA from 1 species